AAACCAACAGGGAUUGCCUCAGUAACGGCGAGUGAAGCGGCAACAGCUCAAAUUUGAAAUCUGGCCUCCCGGGGUCCGAGUUGUAAUUUGUAGAGGAUGUUUUGGGUACCGCCCCGGUUUAAAUUUCUUGGAACAGAAUGUCAGAGAGGGUGAGAAUCCCGUCUUGGACCGGUGGUAGGGCCUGUGUAAAACUCCUUCGACGAGUCGAGUUGUUUGGGAAUGCAGCUCAAAAUGGGUGGUAAAUUUCAUCUAAAGCUAAAUAUUGGCCAGAGACCGAUAGCGCACAAGUAGAGUGAUCGAAAGAUGAAAAGAACUUUGAAAAGAGAGUUAAACAGUAUGUGAAAUUGUUGAAAGGGAAGCGCUUGCAACCAGACUUGAGCGCGACGGUUCCCCUAGCCUUUUGGCUAGGUUACUCCGUCGUGUCCAGGCCAACAUCGGUUCUGAGGGUCGGUCAAAGGCUCUGGGAAUGUAUCUACCCACGGGUAGACUUAUAGACCAGGGUGUCAUGCGACCUCUCGGGACCGAGGAACGCGCUUCGGCUCGGAUGUUGGCGUAAUGGUUGUCAGCGACCCGUCU
rnacentral:rRNA from 1 species